AACUCUCAACCCCUCGGGUUUUACGACCUGUUGGGUUGGAUUUGGGCGCUGCCGCUUCGUUGCCGGCUCGCCUUAAAGGUCUUAGUGGGAACGGUCGGACCCAUGGCUUGGCGUAAUAAGUUUCGCCUCGCUUGGCCGGCUGAAGUCCGCUCACAACCCCAAUACUCUUUCG
rnacentral:misc_RNA from 1 species